AAGCCGAACCGCUUUGGGAAUCGCCCGGCACCAGGAAGUGGCAGCUGUCACUAGCGGCGGGCCCGGGUGUCGACGCCCCAGCCCUUCCCCGGGCCCCGGGGCAGACCCCGCCGCCCCAGAACUUCAGCGGACAGACUGUGGACGUGCGGUCUGACGACUUUCCUAAACUCCGGACGCAGGAAUCGCGUCGCCAGAGCCCGGGCAGGAGCGAGCAGGCGCGGGGACCGACCCGCUAGUGCAAAGGCUCGGAGAGCCAGCGUCGUGCUCCUGCGGGCGAGCCGGCGGCGGCGGAGGAACGAGCCGAAGGGGGAGGUAGAGAAGUGACUCUACCCCGCUGAGCCUGGGCCUGCAGCGGCAACCGCAGACCCUCCCGAGGAAGCGGGAGCGCUCCGGGCGGAGCACGCUCCCGGAGUGGUGGUCAGCCGGCUUUGCAAGGCAACUCUGAACCUAACCGCCCUGGAUUCUGUGCCCUGCCGCGCCCACCUUCCACCUUCGGCCGUCUUCCUUCCACCCACUUCUCAGCACACUGAGCAAAAGCCAGCACAUUCAUGGGGCCAACUGAUUCUUCAUUUAGACAGGGAGUUUUUGUUAAGAGGUCUUGCGAGGAAGCUGGGGCGCACAGACAGGUGGUGACCGGCCCAAAGUGGCGUAACUGAUCUACCCGGCACUUGUCAUACCACAAGGCUUGUGGGAUCUUAGUUUCCGGACCAGGGAUCGAACUCGCACUCCCUGCAGUGGAAGUUUGGAGUCCUAACCACUGGACUGCCAGGGAAGUCCCAGGAGUUGGAUAUUGAAGGAAGUGGAUGUGGACAGAUGAAGAGAGAAGGAGACCUUCAAGGCAGGAGCGUCCGUUAGAGAUACAGCCAGAGGCACAGGAACAGCUGCAACCUGUGUGAGAGAAGAGGUCGCCCCUGUGAAGCCGACAGAACUGCAGUCUGGUCUGGGUCUUGCCGCCAGCCAGCCCUGUGACCUCGAGCUUGUCCCUUCCUCUCUCUGGACUUUGGUAAUUCUAUUUGUAAAAUAAGGAGUUCAACUAGGUCGGCAUUUUCUAAACUGUGGUUUUGCAAUCCAUUACAAGAUGGUGAAAUAAAUUUAGUGAGUCAGAACCAGAAUUCAAAAAAAAAAGGAAAGCAACUAUAUCAGAAUCAGAGCAUUGCACAUAGUAGAGAUAAGUAGUACAUAAAGAAAUGAGGGGACUUCCCUGGUGGCACAGUGGUUAAGAAUCUGCCUGCCAAUGCAGGGGACACGGGUUCGAUCCCUGGUCCGGGAAGAUCCCACAUGCCGCAGAGCAACUAAGCCCACACGCCACAACUACUGAGCCUGCACUCUAGAGCCUGCAAGCCGCAACUACUGAAACUGGCGCGCCCUACAGCCCACGCUCCGAAAGAAGAGAAGCCACCGCAAUGAGAAGCCUGCGCACUGCAACGAAGAGUAGCCCUCGCUUGCCACGACUAGAGAGAGUCUGCAUGCAGCAAUGAAUACCCAAUGCAACCAAAAGAAAAGAAAAGAAAAAAAAAGACAUGGGGGAAAAAUUAGGGGCAGGCGCUGUGCCCUGGAACCCUGGGCAAUCCUCAGCUGACCUUGUGCGAAGAGUCCUUGAGCCCAGGAGGAAGUAGAGAAGUUAAAACAGACGGGCCAAGCAGGAGGGGCUGGGGCUGCUGCGCCCCCAGUCAGCAAGACUCAACCUUGACUUGCUUUGUGCCUUCAGAUCUGGAAAAGCCUCCUGUGGGGACCAUGCUGACAGCUUUCACUCUUGCCCAUGGACCACAGUACAGGAGGCUGCAGACUUGCCUGAUGGUCCCUGAGGGAGUUUGCACGUUGAGGUGUUGGCAUUUCAGGAGCUUGAUGUUUCUGAGGACAUUUGGGACAAAAUACUGGAAACCGUGAGUCCAUGAUAUCUGAAAAUCCAAUACAUAAACAGAUGGAUUCAUUUAAUCCCUCCUUCUGCAAAUGAGGAAACAGCAAACCGGAGAGAAGGCACCAGGCCAAGGUGACACAGUGGGUUAGAACCCAUUCUUGGUCCACUGAAUGGUGGUGUCUGCUGGGGGGUGCGUGGGAGUGUGAGGGUGUAGGAAGAGGUGGUAUUUCAGAAGGCCAACUAACGAGUCCUCUGGGAAGGUAGCUGCCUGCUCAAAAAGCCUGCACACUUAAAAUAAAACAGCUCAGCCUGGCUCCCCUCCGUCAAAGAAGGCGGCCCCGCCCCUGCCCUGCUGGCUAAUUCCUUGGCAGUCACAUUAGUUAAAACUGGGUUAACCCUUGACACCCGGCCCAGCUCCAGGGAAGGACCCAGACCCCAGUCUCACUCCCUCCAUGGCCCCAGCAGAGAUAGAAUGUUAAACAAGGAAAGGUGAACCCACAAGCUAACUAUUUUUAGUCCAAGAAUUGGUUGCCAGGGACAUUAAGCUCAUUCCCUGCUGUAUAUCAGGGAAGCGACAGUGAAGAUGUUUGCAAGGGUCUAAUUGCGGAGAUUUAUGGUAAAAUGCAGCUCAUCAGCUCCAUGCCCGGGUUCAAUCUCCCAGCUCUGGGAAUCUGAGCUAUUUGCUGAUUGCUUGGGUGGAGGGGAAGGGAGUGGGGUGCAGAAGGGGCAGGCGCUGUGCCCUGGAACCCUGGGCAAUCCUCAGCUGACCUUGUGCGAAGAGUCCUUGAGCCCAGGAGGAAGUAGAGAAGUUAAAACAGACGGGCCAAGCAGGAGGGGCUGGGGCUGCUGCGCCCCCAGUCAGCAAGACUCAACCUUGACUUGCUUUGUGCCUUCAGAUCUGGAAAAGCCUCCUGUGGGGACCAUGCUGACAGCUUUCACUCUUGCCCAUGGACCACAGUACAGGAGGCUGCAGACUUGGGUUAUAGCAGGAUGGGUCAGUUAGACAGAAGGAGGACCCCCUUGACAUGAGAGUGAUUGAUGCGGGCAGAGGCAACAACGUCUGGUCUUGGUGCUGGUUGUUCUUCUGCCAAAAUGAGGGGGGGCGAGGAGAGCAAACACCUAGCAGAGCCUACUCUGUGCCAGGCACACUGGGGGCACCUGGACAGAAUCUUAUUUAAUCCUCUGCAGAGGAGGACUGUGUCCACUGCACAUUGCAUAGAUAAGGAAACUGAGGCUCAGGUGAAGAGAGUAACCUAAGGUCACAUGGCAGCCAGAGGAGCAAAACUGGAAUUUUUAAAAAAAUUUUAUUUAUUUAUCUAUUUAUUUUUAUAUUGAAUUUUUGGCUGAGUUGGGUCUUCGUUGUUGCGCGCUGGGUUUCUCUAGUUACAGUGAGCGGGGGCUACUCUUUGUUGCGGUGCGUGGGCUUCUCAUUGAGGUGGCUUCUCUUGUUGCGGAGCAUGGGCUCUAGGCACAUGGGCUUCAGUAGUUGUGGCACGUGGGCUCAGUAGUUGUGGCUUGCGGGCUCUAGAGCGCACGCUCAGUAGAUGUGGCUCACGGGCUUAGCUGCUCCGCGGCAUGCGGGAUCCUCCCAGGCCAGGGCUCGAAACCAUGUCCCCUGCAUUGGCAGGCGGAUUCCCAACCACUGCACCACCAGGGAAGCCCGCAAAACUGGAAUUUUAAGCAGAAUGUUUUCAACUCCAGAGCUCUGCUUACUGACCUAGGAUCCUAGGAGCUGGAAGGAGGGGGUCCUUUCCCCCUUUGUUCCUCCAUACCUGGAAUUCUGGGGCAAAAAGACAUCCAUCCAACCAUCCACUCAACAAAUGUACCAAGUGCUGCAGCAAGCCUCUGGAAUAUAGAAAGAGAACAUGGCGUCUGCCCACAAGGAGCCCACGUGGAGAGGUCGUUUCAUCUAGCCCCCUGCCUCUCCUCAUCCUCUCCAAAGAGGGCACUCUGCAUCGCAAACAGCUCAAUAAAGGAAGGGCUGCGCACUUCCCUGUGUCAGGAAGUUUUAGGAAGCUUCUGUCAUCCCAGGUAAGGGGUAGGGGAAGGACGGCUUGGACUCUCGGUAUCUUGGGGGAAGACUGGACUCAGGCCUACUUUCCUUAUUUAGAAACGUGGACUAAUGAUGCAGAACCACCUUAUGGGAAAGCGAAGUGAGAAAAGGAAGGUUGAACGCCGCUGGCCAUGGGUUCAACUUUCCUGAGACGAGCUAAAGUUGGGUUGAUCAUUAUAGCAAAACUCUGUGAUCAGGCAUCCAGGUAUAUGGUUAUUCUUUACAAUUAUUUUAAGUUGUAUGUGUAUAUAUAUAUGUAUAUAUAUAUAUAUAUUUUUAAUAGCUACCACAGAGCUUGCAUAUGAUGCAGAAAUCAAAAGGUGCACAGGAUAUAGCCUGAAAAUUUCCUUCCCUUCCCUGCUCUCAGCCUCCUAAUUCCUCUUUCCAGAGGCUCCACGGUUAUCAGUUUCCUGACAGAGAUCACCUGUCUAUCUACAUAAACAAGCAAUUAUGGCUGUAUAUUCUUUUUGUUUCAAACAUGAUUUUUUUUCAUACAAACAUGAUUUUCUAUACCUUGCUUUCUUCCACUUAAUUUAUCUUGCAGAUUGUUCCAAAUCAGCCCAUAAAGAGUGUCCCCAUUCAUUCCUUUUCCUGGCUGCAUAAUAUUCCAUGUGUUAGAUGAACCAUGGUCUACUUAUCUUGUCCCCAGUGAUGGACAUCUAGAUGUUUCUCAUUUUUGGCUCUUAUCAGCAGUGCUGCCAAAAAAUAACCUUGUUCAUAAAUCUUUUGGCAUUUAUAAGAGUAUAUCUACAGGAUAGAUUUCAUGUCCAUGGCCCAUGAACGUGUGCAUUUAUAAUUUUGAUACUUGCCAAAUGUAUAAUUUUGAUUAUUGCCAAAUCAUCCUCCAGAUAGAUUGCAAAAUUUACACUGUCUUAGGGUGGGUUUUCCCAGAGGCAGAUCCUGGGCUAAGGAUUUAGAGCAGGUAGUUUAUUUGGGGGGUGAUCCCAGGAAGCUCUAGUAGGGGAGUGGGGAAGGAAGCUGAGCACGUAACCCCAGUGGUGACUGGAGCUUAAUCCCACGGAGGAAACUGGGGAGCCUGUGUGGGGUGCGUGCCUCAGCGUUAUCCUAGUGGGGGUGUGAGGGUAAGAUUCCUCCAGAGACAUGGGUGUCCUGUUGCCCUACUCCUUCACCAAAGGCACGUGGCUCUUCUGCAAGCCCAGUCCCCUUUCCCUUAAUACCCCUCCCCUCACCCCACCCUGCUGCCCUACCCCAGGCUGACACCUGAUCAUCUGCCCCUGCAGGAUCCCUCCCAGCUGCUGAGCCCUAGAAAAGGUCCAGAAGCAUGUCUGGGGUAACUCGAUGCUAAGCUCCCUAAAAGGAAACUACCUCUGGCGCUUCCGUUGUGCCCCGUUCCCACCUCCAGGCAUCAGUACAAAAAGUACCCACUCCAGGGCUUCCCUGGUGGC